rnacentral:precursor_RNA from 1 species
AGGGUGGGGCUGCGCGGUGGCGCUCCUGUCCGCUCUGCCGGGAGCCACUGCGGAUCCCACUCUCU